GGGUUGUGAGGUUAAGCGACUAAGCGUACACGGUGGAUGCCCUGGCAGUCAGAGGCGAUGAAGGACGUGCUAAUCUGCGAAAAGCGUCGGUAAGGUGAUAUGAACCGUUAUAACCGGCGAUGUCCGAAUGGGGAAACCCAGUGCAAUUCGUUGCACUAUCGUUAACUGAAUACAUAGGUUAACGAGGCGAACCGGGGGAACUGAAACAUCUAAGUACCCCGAGGAAAAGAAAUCAACCGAGAUUCCCCCAGUAGCGGCGAGCGAACGGGGAGCAGCCCAGAGUCUGAAUCAGCUUGUGUGUUAGUGGAACGGUCUGGAAAGUCCGACGGUACAGGGUGAUAGUCCCGUACACCAAAAUGCACAGGUUGUGAACUCGAAGAGUAGGGCGGGACACGUGGUAUCCUGUCUGAAUAUGGGGGGACCAUCCUCCAAGGCUAAAUACUCCUGACUGACCGAUAGUGAACCAGUACCGUGAGGGAAAGGCGAAAAGAACCCCGGCGAGGGGAGUGAAAAAGAACCUGAAACCGUGUACGUACAAGCAGUGGGAGCACCUUCGGGUGUGACUGCGUACCUUUUGUAUAAUGGGUCAGCGACUUAUAUUCUGUAGCAAGGUUAACCGUAUAGGGGAGCCGCAGGGAAACCGAGUCUUAACUGGGCGUUAAGUUGCAGGGUAUAGACCCGAAACCCGGUGAUCUAGCCAUGGGCAGGUUGAAGGUUGGGUAACACUAACUGGAGGACCGAACCGACUAAUGUUGAAAAAUUAGCGGAUGACUUGUGGCUGGGGGUGAAAGGCCAAUCAAACCGGGAGAUAGCUGGUUCUCCCCGAAAGCUAUUUAGGUAGCGCCUCGUGAAUUCAUCUUCGGGGGUAGAGCACUGUUUCGGCUAGGGGGUCAUCCCGACUUACCAACCCGAUGCAAACUACGAAUACCGAAGAAUGUUAUCACGGGAGACACACGGCGGGUGCUAACGUCCGUCGUGAAGAGGGAAACAACCCAGACCGCCAGCUAAGGUCCCAAAGUCAUGGUUAAGUGGGAAACGAUGUGGGAAGGCACAGACAGCCAGGAUGUUGGCUUAGAAGCAGCCAUCAUUUAAAGAAAGCGUAAUAGCUCACUGGUCGAGUCGGCCUGCGCGGAAGAUGUAACGGGGCUAAACCAUGCACCGAAGCUGCGGCAGCGACACUAUGUGUUGUUGGGUAGGGGAGCGUUCUGUAAGCCUGCGAAGGUGACCUGUGAGGGUUGCUGGAGGUAUCAGAAGUGCGAAUGCUGACAUAAGUAACGAUAAAGCGGGUGAAAAGCCCGCUCGCCGGAAGACCAAGGGUUCCUGUCCAACGUUAAUCGGGGCAGGGUGAGUCGACCCCUAAGGCGAGGCCGAAAGGCGUAGUCGAUGGGAAACAGGUUAAUAUUCCUGUACUUGGUGUUACUGCGAAGGGGGGACGGAGAAGGCUAUGUUAGCCGGGCGACGGUUGUCCCGGUUUAAGCAUGUAGGCUGAUUGUCCAGGCAAAUCCGGAUAAUCAAGGCUGAGGUGUGAUGACGAGGCACUACGGUGCUGAAGUAACAAAUGCCCUGCUUCCAGGAAAAGCCUCUAAGCAUCAGGUAACAUUAAAUCGUACCCCAAACCGACACAGGUGGUCAGGUAGAGAAUACCAAGGCGCUUGAGAGAACUCGGGUGAAGGAACUAGGCAAAAUGGUGCCGUAACUUCGGGAGAAGGCACGCUGGUGUGUAGGUGAAGCCCCUGCGGGUGGAGCUGAGACCAGUCGAAGAUACCAGCUGGCUGCAACUGUUUAUUAAAAACACAGCACUGUGCAAACACGAAAGUGGACGUAUACGGUGUGACGCCUGCCCGGUGCCGGAAGGUUAAUUGAUGGGGUUAUCCGUAAGGAGAAGCUCUUGAUCGAAGCCCCGGUAAACGGCGGCCGUAACUAUAACGGUCCUAAGGUAGCGAAAUUCCUUGUCGGGUAAGUUCCGACCUGCACGAAUGGCGUAAUGAUGGCCAGGCUGUCUCCACCCGAGACUCAGUGAAAUUGAACUCGCUGUGAAGAUGCAGUGUACCCGCGGCAAGACGGAAAGACCCCGUGAACCUUUACUAUAGCUUGACACUGAACAUUGAGCCUUGAUGUGUAGGAUAGGUGGGAGGCUUUGAAGCGUGGACGCCAGUCUGCGUGGAGCCAACCUUGAAAUACCACCCUUUAAUGUUUGAUGUUCUAACGUUGGCCCCUUACCGGGGUUGCGGACAGUGUCUGGUGGGUAGUUUGACUGGGGCGGUCUCCUCCCAAAGCGUAACGGAGGAGCACGAAGGUUAGCUAAUCCUGGUCGGACAUCAGGAGGUUAGUGCAAUGGCAUAAGCUAGCUUGACUGCGAGCGUGACGGCGCGAGCAGGUGCGAAAGCAGGUCAUAGUGAUCCGGUGGUUCUGAAUGGAAGGGCCAUCGCUCAACGGAUAAAAGGUACUCCGGGGAUAACAGGCUGAUACCGCCCAAGAGUUCAUAUCGACGGCGGUGUUUGGCACCUCGAUGUCGGCUCAUCACAUCCUGGGGCUGAAGUAGGUCCCAAGGGUAUGGCUGUUCGCCAUUUAAAGUGGUACGCGAGCUGGGUUUAGAACGUCGUGAGACAGUUCGGUCCCUAUCUGCCGUGGGCGCUGGAGAAUUGAGGGGGGCUGCUCCUAGUACGAGAGGACCGGAGUGGACGCAUCACUGGUGUUCGGGUUGUCAUGCCAAUGGCACUGCCCGGUAGCUAAAUGCGGAAGAGAUAAGUGCUGAAAGCAUCUAAGCACGAAACUUGCCCCGAGAUGAGUUCUCCCUGAGACUUUAAGUCUCCUGAAGGAACGUUGAAGACGACGACGUUGAUAGGCCGGGUGUGUAAGCGCAGCGAUGCGUUGAGCUAACCGGUACUAAUGAACCGUGAGGCUUAACCUUACAACGCCGAAG
rnacentral:rRNA from 1 species